CCUGGGAUUUCUUUGGAAGAAAUGAUGCUAAAGCUGAAACUCCAGUACUUUGGCCACCUCAUGCAAAGAGUUGACUCAUUGGAAAAGACUCUGAUGCUGGGAAGGAUUGGGAGCAGGAGGAGAAGGGGACGACAGAGGAUGAGAUGGCUGGAUGGUAUCACUGACUUGAUGGAUGUGGCGACCUUGGAAUCAAUCCAGAAAGGCAACUUGGUCUCCCAGACUGCCCAGGAAGUCUUCCUUCAGGCCAGCCAGCUUUUCUAGAAGGUUCUCCAGGGAGUCAGUCCCAGGGCUCUGCCUCUGGAGUCUCUGCGCUUCCCUCACUUGCCUCUAGAUGGAAGAUUUCCUCACCUGGUGCCCAACAGGCUCCCCCUGCGGCCACAUCCAGCAAACCUGUGGAUGCUAGAAUUCUCAGAACCAAAUGCAGCCCUUAUCUUCUGCCGCAAAGCGUGACAGGCUUGUGUGUGGCUGUUAUCAAGCAUCAUUUGCUAUGUCCGUUUUUGGGGACAGAGAGGAGGACACAGGGUCCCUGCCUGAGUCUAGAGGAGGAGACAGGAAAUAGAUGUGACCAUGCAGGGUGGU
ensembl:lncRNA